rnacentral:rRNA from 1 species
UUGGAGGGCAAGUCUGGUGCCAGCAGCCGCGGUAAUUCCAGCUCCAAUAGCGUAUAUUAAAGUUGUUGCAGUUAAAAAGCUCGUAGUUGAAUUUCGGGGUCAGUAGGUUGGUCAUGCCACUGGUAUGUACUGGUCUCACUGAUUCCUCCUUCCUGAUGAGCUGUAAUGCCAUUAAUUUGGUGUUGCGGGGAAUCUGGACUGUUACUUUGAAAAAAUUAGAGUGUUUAAAGCAGGCUAACGCCUGAAUAUAUUAGCAUGGAAUAAUGAAAUAGGACGUUCGAUCCUAUUUUGUUGGUUUCUAGGAUUGGCGUAAUGAUUAAUAGGGAUAGUUGGGGGCAUUAGUAUUCAAUUGUCAGAGGUGAAAUUCUUGGAUUUAUUGAAGACUAACUACUGCGAAAGCAUUUGCCAAGGAUGUUUUCAUUAAUCAAGAACGAAAGUUAGGGGAUCGAAGACGAUCAGAUACCGUCGUAGUCUUAACCAUAAACUAUGCCGACUAGGGAUCGGAUGAUGUUAAUUUUUUAAUGACUCAUUCGGCGCCUUACGGGAAAC